CUAUCUCUGGGAUGUUCGCCAGCGGGUCAAUAUCCCUGCCGAUACUUAUAUCUCCGGAUGCGUUCUGUGUACUUAGAGUGUAGCCUACCCUCGUGUAGGAAACCCAGAAAGUAUGCGUCGCGUCCACCUUGAACUCAUCGGGUUCAGGGUAACGACAUGCAGCGGCAUCUUCGGAGUGUUU
rnacentral:other from 1 species